UAAUAAGUGUUUUAUGGCACUUUUUAAAUCCAUAUCCACCUUGUGUGCAAUGUCAGUCGAUCUUCUUUCAUUGGAGAUCGACCAAACAUCAACCUUUAUCUUUUAACUCUUUGUCUGAAAAUAUUAUGAAUAAACAAUUCAAAAUA
rnacentral:misc_RNA from 1 species